UCUGUAGCUCAGUCGGUAGAGCAGAGGACUGAAAAUCCUCGUGUCGUUGGUUCGAUUCCGACCGGA
rnacentral:tRNA from 7 species